CCUACGGGAGGCAGCAGUGAGGAAUAUUGGUCAAUGGGCGCAAGCCUGACCCAGCAACGCCGCGUGAAGGAAGAAGGCUUUCGGGUUGUAAACUUCUUUUGUCAGGGAAGAGUAGAAGACGGUACCUGACGAAUAAGCCACGGCUAACUACGUGCCAGCAGCCGCGGUAAUAAGUAGGUGGCAAGCGUUGUCCGGAUUUACUGGGUGUAAAGGGCAUGUAGCCGGGUUGACAAGUCAGAUGUGAAAUCCUGCGGCUUAACCGCAGAACUGCAUUUGAAACUGUUGAUCUUGAGUACUGGAGAGGCAGACGGAAUUCCUAGUGUAGCGGUGAAAUGCGUAGAUAUUAGGAGGAACACCAGUGGCGAAGGCGGUCUGCUGGACAGCAACUGACGGUGAGGCGCGAAAGCGUGGGGAGCAAACAGGAUUAGAUACCCUUGUAGUC
rnacentral:rRNA from 1 species